AUUGAACGCUGGCGGCAGGCCUAACACAUGCAAGUCGAACGGUAACAGGAAGAAGCUUGCUUCUUUGCUGACGAGUGGCGGACGGGUGAGUAAUGUCUGGGAAACUGCCUGAUGGAGGGGGAUAACUACUGGAAACGGUAGCUAAUACCGCAUAACGUCGCAAGACCAAAGAGGGGGACCUUCGGGCCUCUUGCCAUCGGAUGUGCCCAGAUGGGAUUAGCUAGUAGGUGGGGUAACGGCUCACCUAGGCGACGAUCCCUAGCUGGUCUGAGAGGAUGACCAGCCACACUGGAACUGAGACACGGUCCAGACUCCUACGGGAGGCAGCAGUGGGGAAUAUUGCACAAAGGGCGCAAGCCUGAUGCAGCCAUGCCGCGUGUAUGAAGAAGGCCUUCGGGUUGUAAAGUACUUUCAGCGGGGAGGAAGGGAGUAAAGUUAAUACCUUUGCUCAUUGACGUUACCCGCAGAAGAAGCAACGGCUAACUCCGUG
rnacentral:rRNA from 1 species